rnacentral:rRNA from 1 species
AUUGAACGCUGGCGGCAGGCCUAACACAUGCAAGUCGAACGAGUGGCGGACGGGUGAGUAAUGUCUGGGAAACUGCCUGAUGGAGGGGGAUAACUACUGGAAACGGUAGCUAAUACCGCAUACCCUCAGAUGUGCCCAGAUGGGAUUAGCUUGUUGGUGGGGUAACGGCUCACAAAGGCGACGAUCCCUAGCUGGUCUGAGCGGAUGACCAGCCAAACUGGAAAUGAGACACGGGACAGACUACGACGGGAGGCAGGAGUGGGGAAGAUUGCACAAUGGGCGAAAGCCGGAUGCAGGCAUGCCGCGUGUAUGAAGAAGGCCUGCGGGGUGUAAAGGACUUUCAGCGGGGAGGCGGUACCCGCAGAAGAAGCACCGGCUAACUCCGUGCCAGCAGGCGCGGUAAUAC